AUCAAAGCGGAAGGUGGUUGGAGCCGUUGAAGGAAGGAACAUCUGCAGGAAGAAGCUGAGGCAGAGAGAAGAAAAAGGACUCCGGGAGGCACCAUGGUAUCCAAAAGGGGAAAGGGGAUAAGUCGUUUCUAGUCAGCUGCCUUUUUCUAAGGCCAUUGGUUAUCUUGCCCCAUGUGCUCUUUAGCCCAGGAUCUCUGGAAAAUGGAGGUCUUUCUAAGGCUUCCUGCUGGAGAUCCUUCUGGUGGGAAAUGCUGUGGAUUGAACAGGAUCCGUUUGCAUGAAGUAUGUCAUUAAGCUAGAAUUCAGAAGGCCCCAACUGCCCUAUUACAGUGGGAGAAAAGCAGUCUGCUUCUCUCCCACUGUAUUUUCAGGGAAUAGGAGAUUCCAUGUCUAUAAAUGAAGUGGGGACAGGAUGCCAGAGAGCUUUUCAUGUCUACUUCCUUGUAUAAUGAAGAGCUUGAUAUGACUGCUCUUUAAACAGUAAAGGUAAAGGUAAAGGGACCCCUGAUCAUUAGGUCCAGUCACGGAUGACUCUGGGGUUGCAGUGCUCAUCUCGCUUUAUUGGCCGAGGGAGCCGGCGUACAGCUUCCGGGUCAUGUGGCCAGCAUGACUAAGCUGCUUCUGGCAAACCAGAGCAGCACAUGGAAAUGCCGUUUACCUUCCCACCAUUUAUCUACUUGCACUUUGACGUGCUUUCAAACUGCUAGGUUGGCAUAAGCAGGGACCAAACAACAGGGCUCAUCCCAUCGCGGGGAUUCGAACCGCCGACCCUCUGAUCGGCAAGCCCUAGGCUCUGUGGUUUAACCCACAGCGCCACCCGCAUCGAAUCUUUAAACAGUAGGUUUGUUUUAAGAUAUCAUUUUAACAGCCUAAUCCAUUAAAUGGUCACUUAGAAGAACUCCAGGAUGAGACACCACUGAAAAUAAGGAGAUAAGAUGGCAGCUAAGAAUAAGGUCCUGUCAACAAAAAGAGGUGAGCUUCUGCAGACUGCUACUCUGAUUUGGUUUUUGACCACGAAAUUCUUUCAUAGAAGUUGUGCUAACUGUCUGCUCCUUUAUAUGGUUCUGAACGCAGGAUGACAUAAGGCACCAAUCCAAAUGAGCAGUUAAAAUGGCGGGAGGCCUGACAUUCACAGAACGUAAGUUGUUUUUACUAUUUCCUCUUCAGUGCCAUACAGGAAGGCAGAGUUCCUGUACCCAUACCUACAUCUUGGGAGGGAGACCUUGAGCCUUUCUUUCUGCAGAGUUUGGGUAUGAUAUCUCAAGUGGCAGAAAAAUGGAACCUGGUAUCUAAAUGGUGAUGAGGACCACCUCCCCCACCCUGGGAACAUUUGUGCCAAGUUUGGCAACAAUAUUUCAAGAAACGGCAAAACCUAUGUAAAUCCCAUUUCUGUAAAUCCCAUGGCAUUAGCUACCCCUCCCAGUUUGGUGUCAUCUGCCAAUUUGAUGAGCAUCUCCUCAAUUCCUUCAUCCAAGUCGUUUAUAAAAUUGUUGAACAACGGGCCCAGGACAGAACCCUGUGGCACCGCACUUUUCACUUUUCCCCAGGAUGACAAGGAACCAUUAAAAAAUAGUCCUGUAGCACCUUAGAGACCAACUAAGUUUGUACUGGAUAUAAGCUUUUGUGUGCAUACACACUUCUUCGAUACACUGAAGCAGAAGUCACCAGACCCUUAUAUAUCUGCAUACUAUCCCUUGCUUUUUCCUGUAGAACUAAUUGCAGUCGUUAACAGUCAUCAACAGUUUUUCCAUACCCAUUAAGUCAAUCACCCAUCUCCCACUACCCUUCUGAGAAAAACCCCACCCCACCCUCCCACUGUAUAUAAGGGUCUGGUGACUUCUCCUUCAGUGUAUCUGAAGAAGUGUGCAUGCACAUGAAAUCUUAUACCCAGAGCAAACUUAGUUGGCCUCUAAGGUGCUACUGGACUAUUUUUUAAUUUUUUAUUUUGACUGUGUCAGACCAACACAGCUUCCUACCUGAAUCAGGGAACCAUUAGUGAGCACUAUUUCGGUUCAGUCAGUCAACCGGCUACAAAUCCACCUAACAGUUACCUCAUUCAACCCACACUUUACCAGUUUUCUCACAAGAAUAACAUGGGGAACUUUGUCAAAAGCCUUACUGAAAUCAAGAUACACUAUGUUCACAUCAUUCCCCUGUUCCACCAAACUUGUUACUCCAUUAAAAAAAAAGAAAUGAGAUUUAUCUGGCAGAGUAGAGCUGAAAACUGAAUUCCUGCAGGAUCAUCACUGCCUACGAUUUUGCUCCUGAGCUACAAGUUUUUCAGGGAUCUACCCUACUGGGAUUUAGCUGCUAUCACACAAAGGCUUUUUUGCAAGUUUUCGCUGAUGUUCAAGUAAAUUACAUACUAUGUGACCCAACACCACAAUGCAGCUUCAAGAACCAGUGUGGCUUCCAGAUCCAAUGCAGCUUCCAAAUCCAAUGUGGCUUCCAGAUCCAAUGUGGCUUCUAGAUCCAAUGUCUCUUCCAGAUCUAAUGUGGCAUCCAGGUCAAUACUAAAACGCAGACGAAAACCACCUCCCAGAAAAGGUAUGUAUGCAGCACACAUAGAACUGGUUCAUAGCCUAGACGAGGAACACACUGGAAAGGAAAAGUGGGAGAGCAACAGGAGGCAUGUGUGACCAGUCGUAGUGGAGAGGGCUGGAGAAAAGCCAGCCGUGCUCUGUCACUCCAACAGGCUCAUUUAGCCAAGCAAACUAGUGCUAUGCCAGCUUCAGACUGUGUUCUCCGCUGAUCCACAAUGUGGUAAGGAUUUACCUCUCUACCACUGCUCCUUGCCCAGGUGAGGGAACAAACCUUUAAAUUUAAGUUUAAUCCAGACAAGACUGAGGUGCAGUCAGUGGGUGGUUCCCUAGACAAGAUGGGUGGGAUAUGGCCUGUUCUGGAUGGGGUUAGACUCCCUCUGGAUCUGGAUGGGGUUAGACUCCCUCUGGAUCCAUUACUGUCACUUGAAAUGAAAAAGCAAAAAAGUUAGCCAUGGUACUUAAGCAGAUUUUCUUUCUUUUUGUCCAUCAAGGAAAACUUGCUGCUGUUUUGCAUGAGAUAAAAGAGUUCUUUCUCUCUUCCAUUGGUACAUUUAUUGUAGUGAUGCUGUGCCUGGUCCUGUUUUUUGCUGCAUUUGGAGCAGUUAGUCUGUGUAAGUCUAGGCUGUGUAAGCCUUUAGCAUUAUCCUGGUUGGCUUUAUAUCAGUAUGAAGAAUACUUUCAAAAGUGUCACCAUAAUCCAACCACAGCUAAGCCCUUUCACCUCCCAUUGAUUCCAGUGCGUAAGGUAAGGAUGUGGCUAAAUCUCACCCAUUGAAAUGAAUGCCUGUUUCUUGCCCCUCAAUAACUGCUUUCGGACUUCUUAGGCCAACAUUAUGAAGCAACCUGUGCAGUCACCUGUCCUACCUUGCAACUCCCUGUUCCAUUUCCUCCUAGAAAAACAAGUGUAUGGUCUGCUUCACUGAGUGGUCAGAACAGCUGAAUUCAAACAAAAGAGGUCUUCAGUUUAUCAACCACCCUUCACAGGGUGAUUUACAUGUUUCAUUUUAAUGCAGUUUUAUUACUGGAAUGUUGCCCAGUCUGCUGCCUGAUGCUUCAUUAAACACUUUUCCUUUGAGAUGGGAAGAGCUUUAAAAAAUUGCUAACACACGGGGAGCCUUGAUUCCAAAUCAGCCGCAGCAAUUCUGGGGUGGAGGUACUGUCGCAUCAGCCGACUCACCAUUUCUUUCCCUUCUAACUCUUCCAUAGAUAUUCAUAAACGGGAUCACAAAUCACCUGAUAUGGAUAUAGCAAUGAAAACUAUCAGGGACUUCAUGAUCAAACAGAAACCAUCCCUCCAAGGAAGGAGUGGUAAGUAAGGUGUUAUAGUCCAUACACUUAGGGCCACUCCUUGCCCCAGCUCCAGCAGGGGGUAUUGCCCCAUAGAAGAGCUUCUUCCCAGCCACUUGACUCAGCUGGAAGAAAAGUCACUGUGAAGUGGCUGGACUACAGUAAGAUAGUAGUAGGUGGAAGAAGAAGUAAAUUCCAUCCUCUCACUUACCACUUGCCCUCUGGAAAUGCUGGGGCCCCAGCUCAUAUCCCCGUUCAUAGCAUUCAACAGGGACAAAACUGGGAGCCCAUGUUUGCUGAAGAGACAUGUAGGCUGUGUCCACAUUAGAGUGUUCAUGUGUGUGUGGAGACACUGUUUCUGCAUCUUCAGACACACACAAGCUUUUUUCAGUUUUAUGCCUCCAAAAUCUAUCCCAAAUGUUCCCGUCCACACUAGCCCAGCAGCACAGCUAAUCAUUUUGGCACCAGCCACAAUGACUAGGUUCUUCCACUCUUAUUGGAAGUAUGUCUUCGAAUACCAGUUACUGAAAACCACAGAAGGGCAGGGUUCUCUUGCACCUAGGUCCUGCUUACGAGUUGAACUUUGGCCCACUUGCCAAUUCUCAGCUGUGCUGGAAUUCAGGCUCCUCAGGAGUCCGGAGGAACAUUGCCUGACUGUGGGGCAUGAAGGCCGCUCCUUCCAAGGCCCUUUCAAUCUGGCCUAGGGGGUGAGGCCCACACUCACCAGCCCCACUGAAGAGGCUCCUCAUGAGGCCGGAGGAAUACACAGUGGUAUCUCAGGUUAAGUACUUAAUUGGUUCUGGAAGUCCGUUCUUAACCUGAAGCGUUCUUAACCUGAAGCAGACCUUCCCACGGAAAGUAAUGGAAAGUGGAUUGAUCCAUUCCAGACGAUGAAAAACACUCCCUAAAACAGCAAUUUAACACAAAUUUUACUGUUUAACAAAACCAUUGAUCCAUAAAAUGAAGGCAAUAAUCAAUGUACUGCACUAUAAAAUAAAUAAGACAGUAUUUUAGAUGAAAAAAAAUAACAUUUAUUUCUUUUCUUACGUGCACUGAUGAUUGUCAGUUUGGAUGGGGGGCUUUUAUCCAUUUCUGAAGUCACACAAUCCACCAGUAGCUGAACUGGGUUCCACACAGUCACAAGAACAAGUCACAAACAUGAAGACACAAGCCACAGUCACAAAAGCAAAGUCACAAGUCAGUCCCAUAAAAUGAAGAACAAGUCACAGUCAAAAAACCGACAAAGCCACACAAAAAGGAACCAGGCGAUGAAAAGCGACCCCUAAAACAGCAGUUUUACAUGAAUUUAACUUUCUAACAAGGCCACUGAUCCAUAAAAUGAAAUCAAUAAAACAGUACAAAAUGAAAAUUUGAUUUUUUCCUUACCUGCGCUGAUGAUAGUCCUUGUUUGGAUGGGGGCUCAGGGUCCUCUUCCACAAUCACAAUCGGCUUGGGGAAUUCGCGGAGGCCUCAGAGAGCUCCGUAGGCCCCGCGGAUGGCCGGGUUUGGCUCCAGGCAGCGGCGAGGCCUCCGAGAGCUCAGACAACUUACUUCAGGGUUACAAUUAUUUGUAACCCAAAAAAACGUUUGUAACCCGAGGUACCACUGUAGUCCGGCUGUGGGGCGUGAAGGCCGCUCCCUGCAAGGCCCUUUCCCCCUGGCCUAGGGGGCUGGGCCCACACUCACCAGCCCCACUGAAGAGGCUCCUCAUGAGGCCGGAGUAACAUUGCCUGACUGUGGGGCAAUAAGGCCGCUCCCUGCAAGGCCCUUUCCCCCUGGCCAUGGGGCAAGGCCCACACUCACCAGCCCCACUGAAGAGGCUCCUCAUGAGGCCGGAGUAACAUUGCCUGACUGUGGGGCAAUAAGGCCGCUCCUUGCAAGGCCCUUUCCCCCUGGCCAUGGGGGCUGGGCCCACACUCACCAGCCCCACUGAAGAGGCUCCUCAUGAGGCCGGAGGAACAUUGCCUGACUGUGGGGCAAUAAGGCCGCUCCCUGCAAGGCCCUUUCCCCCUGGCCAUGGGGCAAAGCCCACACUCACCAGCCCCACUGAAGAGGCUCCUCAUGAGGCCGGAGUAACAUUGCCUGACUGUGGGGCAAUAAGGCCGCUCCCUGCAAGGCCCUUUCCCCCUGGCCAUGGGGCAAGGCCCACACUCACCAGCCCCACUGAAGAGGCUCCUCAUGAGGCCGGAGUAACAGUGCCUGACUGCGGGGCAAUAAGGCCGCUCCUUGCAAGGCCCUUUCCCCUGGCCAUGGGGGCUGGGCCCACACUCACCAGCCCCACUGAAGAGGCUCCUCAUGAGGCCGGAGGAACAUUGCCUGACUGUGGGGCAAUAAGGCCGCUCCCUGCAAGGCCCUUUCCCCCUGGCCAUGGGGGCUGGGCCCACACUCACCAGCCCCACUGAAGAGGCUCCUCAUGAGGCCGGAGGAACAUUGCCUGACUGUGGGGCAAUAAGGCCACUCCCUGCAAGGCCCUUUCCCCCUGGCCAUGGGGCAAGGCCCACACUCACCAGCCCCACUGAAGAGGCUCCUCAUGAGGCCGGAGUAACAUUGCCUGACUGUGGGGCAAUAAGGCCACUCCUUGCAAGGCUCUUUCCACCUGGCCAUGGGGCAAGGCCCACACUCACCAGCCCCACUGAAGAGGCUCCUCAUGAGGCCGGAGUAACAUUGCCUGACUGUGGGGCAAUAAGGCCACUCCUUGCAAGGCCCUUUCCCCCUGGCCAUGGGGCAAGGCCCACACUCACCAGCCCCACUGAAGAAGCUCCUCAUGAAUUGGUGCCAAAGAAGGACAGAACUUUUUUUAUGUAUGCUACAACAGCAGCAAGAAUACUCAUUGCAAAGUAUUGGAAGACACAAGAUCUACCCUCUCUGGAAGAAUGGCAGAUGAAGGUGAUGGACUACAUGGAAUUGGCAGAAAUGACUGGCAGAAUCCGAAACCAGGGAGAAGAGUCGGUGGAAGAAGAUUGGAAGAAAUUUAAAGACUAUUUACAGAAAUAUUGUAAAAUUAAUGAAUCUUAGAAGGAUGUUGGAUAGAAACUAAGUGGUUUCCAGCUGUAAUGCUUUAAGAGAUAUGAAAAAAGGUUUACAAAUGGGUAAAAGCUUAAUGGUAAGGAUUUGCUGAACUAACAAACUGAACUGGAAUACAAAAAAGGGAGGUACGAGGAGGUCCGGGGAAAUGAGUGUAAGGAAGAUAUGCUAUGGAAAAUUAAUGUGUUUUUAACUGUUUUUAUUUUGUAUGUUUCUUUUUAUUUUUUCAUUUCUUUGUUAUACCUUAAAAACUUUAAUAAAUAUCUAUGAAGAGGCUCCUCAUGAGUCCGGAGGAACAUUGCCUGACUGUGGGGCAAUAAGGCCACUCCUUGCAAGGCCCUUUCCACCUGGCCAUGGGGCAAGGCCCACACUCACCAGCCCCACUGAAGAGGCUCCUCAUGAGUCCGGAGUAACAUUGCCUGACUGUGGGGCAAUAAGGCCACUCCCUGCAAGGCCCUUUCCACUUGGCCUAGGGGGCUGGGCCCACACUCACCAGCCCCACUGAAGAGGCUCCUCAUGAGGCCGGAGGAACAUUGCCUGACUGUGGGGCAAUAAGGCCACUCCCUGCAAGGCCCUUUCCACCUGGCCAUGGGGCAAGGCCCACACUCACCAGCCCCACUGAAGAGGCUCCUCAUGAGGCCGGAGUAACAUUGCCUGACUGUGGGGCAAUAAGGCCACUCCUUGCAAGGCUCUUUCCACCUGGCCAUGGGGCAAGGCCCACACUCACCAGCCCCACUGAAGAGGCUCCUCAUGAGGCCGGAGGAACAUCGCCCGGCUGUGAGUGUGAAGGCCACCAGGCAGAGGGCCUUGUCGGUGGUGGCACCCGCCCUGUGGAACGCCCUCCCACCAAAUGUCAAAGAGAAAAUAACUACCAAACUUUUAGAAGACAUCUGAAGGCAGCCCUCUUUAGGGAAACUUUUAAUGUUUAAUAAGUUAUUGCAUUUUAGUGUUCUGUUGGAAGCCGCCCAGAGUGGCUGGGGAAACCCAGCCAGAUGGGCGGGGUAUAAAUAAUAAAUAAUAAAUAAUAAAUUAUUAUUAUUAUUAUCAUCAUCAUCACUGCAAGGCCCUUUACACCUGGCCUAGGGAGCUGGGCCCACACUCACCAGCCCCACUGAAGAGGCUCCUCAUGAGGCCGGAGGAACAUCGCCCGGCUGUGGGGCGUGAAUGCCGCUCCCUGCAAGGCCCUUUCCGCCUGGCCUAGGGGGUGAGGCCCACACUCACUAGCCCUGCUAUGUUCAAUAUGUAUUCUAUAGUUGUCCUCCUUUGUAAUCUUUUAUUCUCUAAUCUUUAAGAUAAUAUUUUAAUUUUCUGUCAUAUUGAUUUGACUGUAUAUGUUUGACUUUCUUCAGAUUUUUUUAUUUAUGUUUUAUUGAUUUAAUAUGCUGUAAACUGCUUUGAGAUUUUUCUUAAAAAUAUAAAGCGGUAUAGAAAUUUUAAAAAUAAAUAAUAUAUAAACAAUGUCACAUCAAAGUAAUUGCAGAGGCAAGCAAUUUUAUCCUCAGUACCAAGUGAUAUAAGAAUUAAAGACUCCGGGUAUAUAUGUUUUAUUUUAAUAAUGUUUCAGUGUUUCAUAUUAAUUGCAUUUAACCUUUUAAAAUGUAUGAGGCUUGAUUUUUGUGAGUUCUGCAUUUGUGAGUCUCUCUUUGUCUGACCCUGGAAGCAGCAGAAAUGGCAGGAUGUUUUCCUAUGAGUUAAUAUCAGUGUGUUAAGCAUAAAUCCUUGGAAGUUUCCUGAAAGACAGAUGGAGGAAUGUUAUUAAACACUGAUCAUAGACUAGUGGGACAUUCAAUACCUAAAAGAGCAAAAGGCCUAGGCGCUUCUGGUCAACCCCAAGGUGAUAGUGGGGGAAGUGGAGAGCAGGAAGACACCAUACAUGUUUUCUAUCCUAUGGCUUGUAACCUUUCCUGACAUAUGAGAAGAUGUUUGGUGACUCUUUGUUUGCUGUGUUUGAACUACAAUAUAAGCUUUUGUUCUGAAGCGCAUCAGGACAGACCUUCUCAACUAGCACCUUGGGUUGAGCUCUGUCCUAUUGCAAUAGAUAAAUAAAAUACAAUUGUACCUUGGAAGUCAAUUGGAAUCUAUUCCGGAAGUCUGUUCGACUUCCAAAACAUUCGGAAACCAAAGCGCGGCUUCUGAUUUGAUCGUUUGGGAACCGAUUUGGUCAGGAGCCAAGGCGUUUGAGAUCCAAGGUACAACUAAAUAAAAAUACUGAGUCUCUAAAUCUGGAUGCUGGGCUCGAAAUAAUUUCCUUGGUUCUGUGGUUUAUUUAAAAGGUGGUCCCACACCUGGGUAACAAACAGAAGUGUUGCAGAGGUGAAUUCUUAGCACACAAGCAAUAGAAUCACAAUGCCUCUCUAAGAUCUCCAGAGCACAGUUAAUCAGAUCAAUGCUCAGCAGAUUACAGACCACCCUGAAUGCUAGAAUGUGGCCAGUCACAAGUUAUAGGGAAACAGCCUUUUUAUAGAGUUGAAUAGCUGUUUGAGAUCUCACUGACCUGAAUUAUCCAAACCUUUCAGAUUCUGAAAUACUUGCUGAAGCUGAGAAGUUAGCAGGUGAAUUGCUUAUAUGGGCAGACAGAGCAAAUGAAGUCCAGUCUGCAAUCAGUAAGUUAUUCUUAAGAUGGUGAUGUUGAGAAAUCAGAGGAUAGGGGGAACCCAUGUACUGAAAGCCCCUCAACUGCACAGCUGUUGAAGGUAUAAAGGUCCCACCAUCCUCUAGAAUCUUCCCGGUUUCUGGGGGUUUUCCUGUUGUUAUUCUGUCUCUCACAGCUACAAUAAACCUACCAUUAAAAUUAUGGACUGGUCAUUUCUUCGUCAGAGGGCAAACAGGCAAACUUAGCAAGGGAUCAGAUACACACACAAACACACCCCGGUAUGAGAAGAGCAAUGAGAGACACUCCAGGGUAUAAUGUUCUGUACCUCCUCCAUUGAAGACUUUAUUUGCAAGCAGAAUCAUAGAAUUGUUGAGUUGGAAGAAACCCCAAGCAUAAUCUAGUCCAGUAAUCUAGUCCAACCCCCUGCAAUGCAAGAAUCUCAUCUAAAGCAUCUUGUCUAAAUAUGUGUCAAAUAAACCAUACUUCUUAAGCACUCACCUCCACUAUUCCUCGAUUUUCUCAAUGGAAACACAAUCCUGGGCAAGCAACCGGAACCUCCCAAGAUCUUGCUACUGCUCGGCAGAGAUUGGGGGUGCCACACAAUCUUCAUAGCAUUACCAAUCUGUUGAUGAAUGGAAACAGUAGAACAGGGAAGUAAAAGGAGGACAAAUGACCUGGCUAAAUGUGUCCUUUAUUAGAACAAACCUUUCAGAGUGUUAGCUACCAUGUCUUUUGCUGGAUUGUAAUGAAAUAUCAGUAUGUAAUUCAUAAUGACUUUAUUUAAAAUACAGUGGUACCUCGGUUUACAAACUUAAUCCAUUCCGGAAGUCCGUUCUUAAACCAAAACCAUUCUUAAACCAAGGCACGCGUUCCCUAAUGAGGCCUCCCACAACCGGUGCCCUUCUACCGUUUGGAUUCCGUUCUUUGACCGAGUUAAAGUUCUCAAACCAGGACACUACUUCCAUUUUUGCAGAGUUCGUAAACCAAUUUGUUCUUAAACCGGACUGCUCUUAAACCAAGGUACCACUAUAAUAAUAAUAAUAAAAUCUGUAAGACCUUCAGUCCAGCUAAAACUGGUUUGUUUGUUUUCCUCUCUCUCUCUCUCCGCCCCCCCCACCCCCAUUUCUGGCUGGAUUCAAAGAUGACCUCACUUCAAAUCAUCAUCAAAAGUGGCAGAUAUAUAAAGAGGCUCUCUAUUUAUUUGAUGAAGGACUAGUAGACUGGAGUCAGGCAGACAGCUUUUGUGAGAGUCAAAAAUCCAAACUGGUUAUUAUUGAAAAUGAAAAAGAGGAGGUAAGCUAGCUGAACACUAUAUAUAGAAAUGGCAUGAAUAAUCCUUUCUAAAUAAGACAGAGUGGGAUUGGGAAACUGCAAGCAAGAGGCUGUGCAGGGUAAUUUGAUGCUGCUGGAACAAUGGAGGAAGGGAAGGGUGGCAUAGAACUAGAGAUUGUUUAGCUGAGAGAGAAAUGCCUUUCCCCCUCCUAAAAUGAAGGGAUUCAAAGAAGAUGAAGAUGUAACUCAGAUUAAAAUUAGGACUCUUGGGUUGUAUUGGUAUUAUCCUGCGUAGUGAGUGAUGUAGCAGAGCAGAUUCCCUUCAAUAUAGCAGGAAGCUAGUUUGCAGAUCUGUUUGAAUCUCUUUAGUUAAGUAAUCCAAUCUGGCUUGCCAGAUGGAUUAUUCCUGGUGUCCCCUUUUAUCCCUCUUAAAAGAAUAAAGAAACGAGUCUUUCCUUUCGAAAUAACAAGAGGUUUGCUCACAUUUCAGUUCAUGAUUUGAUCCCUGAAAGGCAGGCUUUACUUAGUAGUUACAUAACAAUCUGUGAGUUCAUCUCGCAUGGAGAUUGAGAUCAUGUGCUGACAGCAAAAUUUACAUCAAGAGAACAAAAUGGCUACAGGAGAGCAGGAAGCAAGAGAUUAGCAAGAGAGGGAGGAUGGCUGCGUGACUCAGCUCUUUUAUGGAGUCAGCCAGGGCCAUGCCUAUCUCCUAGAUCACAUGCAGGGGGAAGGAUGCUCCAGACGAGUGGAACAGGAAGUUACACUGACUGGAUGUCCCCUUGCUUGUGCCCACUCUAGGGAAAUAAGCAUGUUGCAUUUGACUGCACCAGUGGGUUACAUCCCACAGAGCAGACAAUAAGAACUGAGUGAACCCCAAGUGAUCCAUCUUGAUAAAGGAAGCCUUGUUGCACAUGCUAACAGCAAACCCCAACAGUGAGUUCAGACAGGACAUUCCUGCAUUUCAGGGGGUUCGACCCUUGGGGUCCCUUCCAACUCUACAAUUCUGGGAUUCUGGGCUAGAAAGGAGCAGAUUUGUCUGCACAAAGGAGAACUGGGAUUUCUAUUGGUGGGACACAUCUGUUCGAGAAUCUCAGAUUUGGGGAGAGGCUAUAAUAUGGAUUUGAACUGUGAAAUAUCUAGGAGAAUGUGGUUAGUGUCGGCGUCCUCCUCCCCCCCAAAAAAUAAAUAAAUAUUAUGGGCUGGUUGCUAUGAUCUUACUGGUGGGAAAUUACACCAAGCAAGAUGGUUGACCUUGGAGUUUCUAUCUUAAAGAAUCAUAGAAUCAUAGAGUUGGAAUAGACCACAAGGGCCAUCGAGUCCAACCCCCUGCCAAGCAGGAAACACCAUCAGAGCACUCCUGACAUAUGAUUGUCAAGCCUCUGCUUAAAGACCUCCAAAGAAGGAGACUCCACCACACUCCUUGGCAGCAAAUUCCACUGUCGAACAGCUCUUACUGUCAGGAAGUUCUUCCUAAUGUUUAGGUGGAAUCUUCUUUCUUGUAGUUUGGAUCCAUUGCUCCGUGUCCGCUUCUCUGGAGCAGCAGAAAACAACCUUUCUCCCUCCUCUAUAUGACAUCCUUUUAUAUAUUUGAACAUGGCUAUCAUAUCACCCCUUAACCUCCUCUUCUCCAGGCUAAACAUGCCCAGCUCCCCCAGCCGUUCCUCAUAAGGCAUCGUUUCCAGACCUUUGACCAUUUUGGUUGCCCUCCUCUGGACACGUUCCAGUUUGUCAGUGUCCUUCUUGAACUGCGGUGCCCAGAACCGGACACAGUACUCCAGGUGAGGUCUGACCAGAGCAGAAUACAGUGGCACUAUUACUUCCCUUGAUCUAGAUGCUAUACUCCUAUUGAUGCAGCCCAGAAUUGCAUUGGCUUUUUUAGCUGCCGCAUCACACUGUUGGCUCAUGUCAAGUUUGUGGUCAACCAAGACUCCUAGAUCCUUUUCACAUGUACUGCUCUCAAGCCAGGUGUCACCCAUCUUGUAUUUGUGCCUCUCAUUUUUUUGCCCAAGUGCAAUACUUUACAUUUCUCCCUGUUAAAGUUCAUCUUGUUUGUUUUGGCCCAGUUCUCUAAUCUGUCAAGGUCGUUUUGAAGUGUGAUCCUGUCCUCUGGGGUGUUAGCCACCCCUCCCAGUUUGGUGUCAUCUGCAAAUUUGAUCAGGAUGCCCUUGAGUCCAUCAUCCAAGUCGUUGAUAAAGAUGUUGAAUAAGACCGGGCCCAAGACAGAACCUUGUGGCACCCCACUAGUCACUCUUCUCCAGGAUGAAGAGGAACCAUUGAUGAGCACCCUUUGGGUUCGGUCAGUCAGCCAGUUACAAAUCCACUGAGUGGUAGCAUAGUCAAGACCGCAUUUUACCAGCUUCUUUACAAGAAUAUCAUGGGGCACCUUGUCAAAUGCCUUGCUGAAAUCAAGGUAGGCUACAUCCACUGCAUUCCCUUCAUCUACCAGGCUUGUAAUUCUGUCAUAAAACGAGAUCAGGUUAGUCUGACAUGACUUAUUUUUCAGAAAUCCACGCUGACUAUUGGUGAUCACAGCAUUCCUUUCUAGGUGCUCACAGACUGUUUGCUUAAUGAUGUGCUCCAGAAUCUUCCCUGGUAUUGAUGUCCAACUGACUGGGUGAUAAUUAUUUGGGUCCUCUCUUUCCCCCUUUUUGAAAAUAGGGACAACAUUUGCCCUCCUCCAGUCUGCCAGGACUUCGCCUGUUCUCCAGGAAUUCUCAAAGAUGACUGCCAGUGGUUCUGAGAUCACAUCUGCCAGUUCUUUUAAUACUCUUGGAUGCAGUUCAUCUGGCCCUGGAGACUUGAAUACAUCUAAACUAGCCAAGUAUUCUUGUACUAUCUCCUUAGUUAUUCUGGGCUGUGUUUCCUCUGCUGAAUCAUUUGCUCCAAAUUCUUCAGGUCGGGCAUUGUUUUCUUUAUCGGAGAAGACUGAGGCAAAGAAGGCAUUGAGGAGUUCAGCCCUUUCUGUGUCCCCUGUUUGCAUUUCACCAUCUUCUCCUCUGAGUGACCCCACUGUUUCUUUGUUCUUCCUUUUGCUACGGACAUACCCAUAAAAGCCUUUUUGUUGCUUUUAACCUCUCUAGCAAGCCUGAGUUCAUUCUGUGCUUUAGCUUUUCUGACUUUGUGUCUACAUGUGCUGGCUAUUUGUUUGAAUUCCUCUUUGGUGGUUUCCCCCUUUUCCAUUUUUGUACACAUCCUUUUUAAUCUUAACUCAGUUAAAAGUUCUUUAGAUAGCCACCCUGGCUUCUUUAGGCACCUUCCAUGUUUCCGUCUCAUUGGUAUUGCCUGAAGUUGUGCUUUUACUAUCUCCCUCUUAACAAACUCCCAGCCAUCAUGAACUCCCUUUCCUUUUAGUAUUACUGUCCAUGGGAUCUCACCCAGCACUUCCCUAAGUUUUAUGAAGUCGGCUUUCUUAAAGUCAAGAAAUUGAGUCCUAGUAUGCUUGGCUGCUCUUUUCCGCUGUAUAGUAAACUUCAGAAGAGCAUGAUCACUCGCGCCUAAUGAUCCUUCCACUUCUACCCCACUAACCAGGUCAUCAACAUUGGUUAGGACCAGAUCUAAAAUGGCUGUUCCUCUUGUUGCUUCUCCCACUUUCUGGACAAUGAAGUUGUCUGCAAGGCCAGUGAGGAAUCUGUUUGACCUUAUGCUCUUGGCUGAGUUUGACAUCCAACAAAUAUCCGGGUAAUUGAAGUCCCCCAUUACUACUAUCUCCCUUCCUUUUGCAUGCUUGGCCAUCUGUUCCAGGAAGGCAUCAUCUAUGUCCUCCGUUUGGCUUGGGGAUCUAUAGUAAACUCCCACAAUGAGGUCUCUGUUAUUCUUCUCUCCCUUAAUUUUGACCCAAAUGCUCUCACUUUGGCCUUGAGGUUCUAAAUCUUGGAUCUCUUCACAGGUAUACACAUCCCUGACAUAUAACGCCACUCCUCCUCCUUUCUUGUCUGGUCUGUUUCUCUGAAAUAGAUUGUAUCCCUCCAUUAUUACAUUCCAAUCGUGGGACUUAUCCCACCAGGUUUCAGUGAUGCCUAUUGUGUCAUAUUUAGUUUGCUGUACUAAGAGCUCAAGCUCAUCUUGUUUAUUUCCCAUGCUUUGUGCAUUAGUGUACAGACAUUGAAGUCCAUUAAUCAUUCCCCCGUGUCUCUUAUUUAAGGAUUUUUUCCUCCCACCACUAGGUCUGCGUGCUGUUUGCUCCAUUUGGUCUAUGACAUUUGGAUGAUCAUCUUCAUCAAUUCCUACCUUCAGGAGCACUGUCUCCCUCCCCCACAUUAGUCAGUUUAAAGCCCUCCUGAUGAGGUUUCUGAGAUUUUUGGCAAAAACAUUCCUCCCAACCGUUGUGAGGUGCAGCCCAUCGCUUGCCAGAAGUCCAUCUUCAAGAAACUGCAGUCCGUGAUCUAAGAAUCCAAACCGUUCCUGUUUACACCAUUUGCGAAGCCAGCUGUUCACUUCCACUAUUUUCCCUCUCUCCCUGGGCCACGUCGUUCAACUGGGAGGACAGAUGAGAUGACAAUUUGUGCAUUUAAUUGCUUCAAUUUCCUGCCCAGAGCCUCGUAGUCUCUUUUGAUCUUCUGGAGGCUAUUGCUUGCAGUGUCAUUGGUUCCCACAUGAACCAAGAGGAAGGGGUAUUUGUCAGUGGGUUUUAUGAUUCCUUGCAGUCGUUCAGUUACAUCUUGGAUCUUAGCCCCGGGGAGACAGCACACCUCCCGAGACAUCUUGUCAGGCCCACAGAUCACUGCUUCUGUUCCCCUCAGUAGGGAAUCCCCUAUCACCACUACACGCCUCCUCUUAGGUUUGGUCGGGGUUCUUCCGUGAGCUGUCCGUUCCAAGGUCGCCUGCACAUUCCCUGAGGACUGACUUUGCUGCUCAUCUUCAUAUACCUGAUCGACUGUAAUGAGGGAGAGAUCCUCAAAUGGAGUCUGUUCUUCGUCUUCCAUGCUAGGGGAGAGGACUUCAAAGCGAUUGUGUAUUUCUAAACAAUCAGAGCGAACCCUGGACCUCCUACUUUUUUGAGUCACGUUUCUCCAUAUAUCUGGCACCUCUGUUGGUGAACUAGUCUCCUUCUCAGGGGUGUCCCCUGUCUCCUCCUUGGUGGAGACGGUGUUCUCUGUAGCUUCCAAGAAGAGCUCCAGCUCUCUAAUUCUUUGGAGCGUAGCUACACGUUCCUCCAGUUGCUGGACUUUGUCUUCUAAGAGGGCAAUCAACAUACAAUUGCUGCAGGUAAAGCUGCCUGCAACCUUUGGCAAGAUGGCAAACAUUGCGCAGGAACCGCAGGCGACUGCAGCUGUUCCCUCACCCUCCAUCUUGAAAACGUGUCGUUGGGGGUGGCUACAGUGGUCCUCCAUCUUAAAAAGCGUGAAGACAGGACAAAUAACCCCCCCCCCAAAAAAAACCUAGGUCUCCCCCAACAAACGUUUGAGACUAGCUCCCCUAAAUCUAAAAGCUCUGAUAAGCUCCUCCCACAGCUAAUCACCUGACUCAACAGAAACCCUGCCCCCUCUGACCUUUGCACAGGGAGAGCAGCUAAUCAGCCACAAAGAAACACACACACAAGAAAACCCUUUUGCUCCUCCUUCGGCUGCUGCCCUGCAAGCUCUGAUAAGCUCCUCCCAAGAAAAAGACUUCAGACUACAUGUGAUGUGGGACAGAGGAGCUGAGCAGCAAGAAGACUAAUUAUUGGACUGGAUUGCUAUGUUACUAUAUAUGCAUAUGGAAGGAGAGGAAGUUUUAUUUUAAUUAACAUUAAUUAAUGAUUUAGUAGGGAUUGACAAUCUGAUAAGUAGCCUCACUUGUCAAAACUGGAAAUGUUAAAUAAUGUAUGUGCAGGAAUUGAUUGCUAGAGAGCUGUUUGAAAAGUAAAAAUAUUGUAUUUUGUAAGGUUAUUUGUAAUGUCUGAAGAUAAACUAGAUGUAAUCAGGAAAUAUGAUGCAGCAUGAAGGAGAAUCAUUAACAUGUCUAGGAAGACUUAUGGGAAGUCAGAUUUGGAAAAAUGUUAAAUUUGUUUUAAUUAGUGACUAAUUUGUAAAGAAAAAAUGAAAAUCAAUAAAAAAAUAUUUGCCCCCCCCAAAAAAAAAACCUUACAGUUCCCAGGAUGCUUUGGAGGAAGCAUUGAGUGGUUAAAGUGGUAUGAUACUUCACAGUGCAGAUGGGGCCACAGUCUGGGGAUGACCUGAGAGGGGAUUCUGGCCUCUCAUUCCUAUGAAAGACUUUCUGAUUGUGCUUUCAGCAGGAGUUCCUGGAAAAUGCAAUUAAAAACGAACAGCAUGACUUCUGGAUUGGGCUCCGUCAUUUCAUUGGAUGGAAAUGGAUAGAUAACACUUACCCACCACGAUAGUGAGUCUUGAAGCAACGUUUCUCUGUUUAUUGUAUUGUAGAAACUUUGCUAAGAAUUUGUUUUUUUGCUCUUCAUUGAAAGCUCUUCCUGUCCUUUGCCUGCAUCUAGAAUCCAGCAGAGUAUUUUAUUUCCAUUGCAUUUUAUGUUCCAUGUCAGAAAGGCGGUUUUGUAGGGAGGAAGCAAUAUUAUAUUGUCCAGCUUCAUCAGAAGUGGUAAUGCUGCGUAGUUUGACGGGGCUUGAUAGUAGUUUCAUGCUCAACAAUGAAGGGCUUCUACACUGAGACAAGAAAUCACCCCACAUGGCAGGGGCUGGUCCAGUAGGGCGAAUGUGCCUCACCAACCUCAGUCUGUCCUCAGCCUUCAUAUACCUACAACCAAUCUUGGGUGGAGUGGAGGUGGUUCUUCCAGUCGUUGCUUCCACAUAUGGUUUGUAUCCUUGCCUUCCACUCUGCCACUACUUAUGGGCACCAGCCACCUAGGACUCCACAUAGCCAAAUGCCCCCUCACCCAUGCCUUCUCACAGUCUCUCUCCACUUUCACCAUGUGCGUGAACACUGUAGUCCUUCAAAUCACCCCAGUUCUUCAUCUUCUUCAGCAAUCACUUGUAGCCAUGUAAGAUUGUCUUCCAUGAACACAGUCUUAACAGUGAGUCCGUAAGUGGAUCCACACGUCCUUCCACAGUGAGGACAUAGGUUUCCUGGUGGGAGUUGAUCACGGUGAGGGUUUGCCAAACGUGCCUUCCUCUUAGCACGUUUCUCCCUUUUGUCCUGAGUUUGAGUGUCUUCAAAGUCCAUGACACCUUUAGUAAAGGCUGUUCAACUGGAGUGCUCACAGGCCAGUGAUUCCCAAUUGUUGGUGUUUAUACUACAUUUUUUAAUAUUUGCCUUGAGAGUCUUUAAACCUCUGUUGUUGGCCACUGGCAUUACACUUUCCAUUUUUAAAUUCGGAAUAGAGUAGUUACUUUGGAAGACGAUGAUUAGGCAUCCGAACAGCAUGACCAGUCCAUGACUAGAGCAUGGUGGCGACAGCAUGUCCCCUUUGCCUCCCCCUCAGUUUUGAUCCUCUCCAUUUUUUGGAAGACCAAGCAAUGCUUUUUGACCUCACCUUGUUAAAAUAUGAUAGUUUGCCUCUUUGAACAGAGACGAAAGCAUAAGUGUGAGGAAUUCUACUGCUUCUUAAAUGUUUGCUAAAGUGUAGGAAUGCAGGUACACAAGGCUUGCUUUGUUCCAUAGUAUCAUUCAGUGGUUAUUGUUGCUUUCCACCAUCAUCACCCCAGUCAAUCAUUAGCUCUGGCUAACAGAAUGAAGAAUCUACUAGAACCGCAGGAUCCUAUGUCCACUUAGAACUAAUGAGUGUGGAGAAAGAGAAUAGAGAAAAGGCUUUCUCCUACUCUCAUAACACUAGAAGUCAUCUUUCUUAAAAGCCACAUUUCCCUAAGUGUGUGAUUACACCCCCUGAGGGGCACUAGAAUGAUCCAAGUGGUCGUUGAAUAAAAAUAAGUGGGUGGAAGAGAAGAGAAGAGAAGAGAAGAGAAGAGAAGAGAAGAGAAGAGAAGAUUCAUCUGUUAUGUAAUGACGCUUACUGCCAGGUUGGGCUCCGUUGUGGGUUGGCAACAAAAGUUCACCUGGAUCUGGCAAUUGCACUGGAGGGGAGAGGUUUUCACAGGCUAGGGUGAACUUUUGGGCUUCACCCAGACCCAGAAAGUGGAUCGCAGACUGCCUGUCUAUUUGGCCCAUGGCAGGCAGGAUGCGGCACCGGCUCGGCCCCUGGGAUAGAUCGGACUGAGCCGGCAGUCUUAACUCUGGUCCGCUCCAUGGAAUUUUAAUCUUUCUUUAUUAGGUUGUAGGAUAUAGGUAGAAACAGGGCUUUUUCAGGGGGAACUCACAGGAACUCAGCUCUGGGACUUCUCAGGUGGGUUCCAGAACCUCUCAGGUGAGUUCUGGAACCUCCCAGGUGGGUGCAAUUCAAAGAGAAAGAGGGAGGCAUUCAUGGUGAGUUCCGGCAUCUUUUUUUCUAGAAAAAUAGCACUGGGUAGAAAUACAGACACAUAAAAGAAUGCAAAUUUGUCACUGCAUCUUUUAUUUGUUUGCUUAAAAAAGGUUGGUUCCUGGGGGGGGGGUUCUGAGUAUUUUUAUUUUUUUUCUGAAAGGAGGUGGUAGGCCACAUAGGUUUGGGAGCCUCUGCUUUAAAGCCUUCCACGUUGGUGGCCAUCACCACCUCCUGUUGAAGUGAGUUCCACAGGUUAACUCCAUGCUGUGUGAAGAAGCCUUUUCUUUUUUCAGACCAGCUUCAUUUAAUGCCCUGGAAUCUGAGGAUUCUGAGAGGGGGAGAUCUCUUAAUGCUGAAAUAAAGUACACACCCCAUGUUGAUGGAUAGGGACACCAAGCCAGAUGUACGGGGUAUAAAUAAAUUAAUAAUAAUAACAAUAACAACAACAACAACAAUAAUAAUAAUUUGCUUCUCACUGACUCAUUGAUUUGUGCUUCCUUUUCUUUUCAGUUAUUGGGUAGUCGGUAAGCCAGACAACCACCUUCAUAGACCAGUCGGUGCAAUAAAAGCAAAGUGUGCAACACCACUGCGAUGUUGGGAGAACUUUCCCCGUCUUGAUCAAAAAAGAAGCAUAUGUAAGAAGAAGCCUGAUAAACGAUGGUUCAAUUAAAACUCUUCAUGGGCAAUGAAUCGACCCACCUUUAAUAGAAGCCAUGGUCAAUGAUCCAAUGAUCCAAAUUAUGGAAUUAUGGGCAUGGAAGAGAUCAGGUCUUUGACACCAGCACUCAAAAGCCUUUUGUCAAUCCUGCAUCCUCAGGUGACCUGAUUUUGCAACCUCAGAUAAUGGAAACUCCUGGAAAAUAAAGCAAGGAGGACUCAGUCGUAGCCCACUUUCUGUUGCAAUAAAUCCAAUACAGCC